rnacentral:rRNA from 1 species
UACAGAGGUCCCAAGCGUUGUUCGGAUUCACUGGGCGUAAAGGGUGCGCAGGUGGUCGGGUAAGUCUGAUGUGAAAUCCCGCAGCUUAACUGCGGAAUGGCAUUGGAUACUAUUCGGCUAGAGGGUUGGAGGGGGGACUGGAAUUCUCGGUGUAGCAGUGAAAUGCGUAGAUAUCGAGAGGAACACCUGCGGCGAAGGCGGGUUGCUGGGCUGACACUGACGCUGAGGCGCGAAAGCUAGGGGGAGCGAACGGG